UACAGAGGGUGCAAGCGUUGUUCGGAAUUAUUGGGCGUAAAGCGCGUGUAGGCGGCUUUGCAAGUCGAGUGUGAAAGCCCCCGGCUCAACUGGGGAGGGUCAUUCGAUACUGAUCGACUCGAAGGCAGGAGAGGGUAGUGGAAUUCCCGGUGUAGUGGUGAAAUGCGUAGAUAUCGGGAGGAACACCAGUGGCGAAGGCGACUACCUGGCCUGUUCUUGACGCUGAGGCGCGAAAGCUAGGGGAGCAAACGGG
rnacentral:rRNA from 1 species